GCCCGGCUAGCUCAGUCAGCAGAGCAUGAGACUCUCGAUCUCAGGGUCAAGGGUUCGAGCCCCAUGUUGGGCA